UACGUAGGGGGCUAGCGUUGUCCGGAAUCAUUGGGCGUAAAGAGCGUGUAGGCGGCCCGGUAAGUCCGCUGUGAAAGUCGGGGGCUCAACCCUCGAAUGCCGGUGGAUACUGUCGGGCUAGAGUGCGGAAGAGGAGAGUGGAAUUCCUGGGUGUAGCGGUGAAAUGCGCAGAUAUCAGGAAGAACACCAAUGGCGAAAGCGACUCCUGGACCAGUACCGACGUCGAGGCACGAAAGCCGUGGGGAGCAAACAGG
rnacentral:rRNA from 1 species